rnacentral:rRNA from 1 species
AGGUUACUGCUAUCGAGGCUCGACUAAGCCAUGCGAGCCGAAUGUAGCAAUACAUGGCGUACUGCUCGGUAACACGUGGACAACCUACCCUCCGGACGGGUAUAAACCCGGGAAACUGGGUAUAAUCCCCGAUAGAUCUCGGUCGCUGGAAAGCCCCGAGAUCGAAAGCUCCGGCGCCAGAGGAUGGGUCUGCGGCCUAUCAGGUAGUAGUGGGUGUAGCGUACCUACUAGCCUACGACGGGUACGGGUUGUGAGAGCAAGAGCCCGGAGAUGGAUUCUGAGACACGAAUCCAGGCCCUACGGGGUGCAGCAGGCGCGAAAACUUUACAAUGCCGGCAACGGCGAUAAGGGGACCUCGAGUGCCAGGUUACAAAUCUGGCUGUCGUGAUGCCUAAAAAGCAUUGCAUAGCAAGGGCCGGGCAAGACCGGUGCCAGCCGCCGCGGUAACACCGGCGGCUCGAGUGGUAACCGUUAUUAUUGGGUCUAAAGGGUCUGUAGCCGGCCAGAUAAGUCUCUUGAGAAAUCCAGCAGCUCAACUGUUGGGCUUUCAGGAGAUACUGUCUGGCUCGAGGCCGGGAGAGGUGAGAGGUACUUCAGGGGUAGGGGUGAAAUCUUGUAAUCCUUGAAGGACCACCAGUGGCGAAGGCGUCUCACCAGAACGGACCUGACGGCAAGGGACGAAAGCUAGGGGCACGAACCGGAUUAGAUACCCGGGUAGUCCUAGCCGUAAACGAUACUCGCUAGGUGUCGGCCACGGUGCGACCGUUGUCGGUGCCGUAGGGAAGCCGUGAAGCGAGCCACCUGGGAAGUACGGCCGCAAGGCUGAAACUUAAAGGAAUUGGCGGGGG